rnacentral:rRNA from 1 species
UACGUAGGGUGCGAGCGUUAAUCGGAAUUACUGGGCGUAAAGAGUGUGUAGGCGGUGUUCUAAGUUUGUCGUGAAAUCUCCCGGCUUAACUGGGAGGGUGCGGCGAAAACUGGAAUGCUAGAGGAUGGGAGAGGUAAGCGGAAUUCCUGGUGUAGCGGUGAAAUGCGUAGAUAUCAGGAGGAACACCUGUGGUGUAGACAGCUUACUGGACCAUUUCUGACGCUGAGACACGAAAGCGUGGGUAGCAAACAGG